GUAGGAUGGGACUAAUUGGGGGUGGGUUUAGAAGGCGACUUAAGGCCACAUUCGGUUUGUACUGGUGUGUCAUAAACAAUGGCCUGGAAUUAUACAGACGACCUAGACCAUUAGCUCUCUAAAUGAUAGGUUCCAAGGUCCCCUCGAACCAACCAGACAGACUACUCCCUUUCUUGGGAAAUGAAGGGCUUGCUCUCAGGGACUCUUCUCCUUUAGUCUUCUUUGUAGAUGUUCCCAGUGACGCUUGAAUCUUCACACUUGGCAGCUACUGGUUGCCCUGGGACUAGCCUACCCUAAUUGGACCCUUUCCCAGAGUUAGCCCAGCUUAGUUAAAGCUAGGAAUUGGCUUACGGGAGAAAAACACUGGCCAGUCAGCAUGCUGAAACCACCAUCUGAAGCUCAGGGUCCCCCUCCAGAGAGACCCUUCCUGAUGUCUCCUUGACCUACCCUGUUACCACGCCCCAAAGUCCUUUCUUCUAUCAGAGAUAACUUUUGCUUUCAGUUUAGUCCCAUGACCUUUUAAUCUGUUUUACCCCUGAAGAAAACGUAACAGACCUAAUAUAGCACGGUGGUAUGGGACUUGCCCAGCAUAUGCACAGCCAAAUAAAAAGCAUCACCCCCAACACACUGGCACAUUGGUACAUACACUCAGAGGUCACUGGAGCAUCAAAUCUUCCGCCCCGUUUGAAAGCUUCCUGGGUAUCUGGGUUCACACUUCUGCGUCUCAGCUACCUUAGUCUUCUCUGUAAGUUAAAAUACCUCUCCCAGUUUGCAUUGGCAAAUGCAUCCAGUAACAGUGUUUGCCUCACUGGGUGUCCGGAGGAAUGAGUAAAUGAUCAAUCAAUCAGUACUAGUUAUUGACAAGAUUUUUCAGGUACAUCUAUCUUGCCUUUGUGCAAUCGAAGAUAAAUCGAAGUCUCCUUUUCAACAGAAUUUCAUUCCUCAUAUAAACCAAGACCAGUUCACCUGCACUCCCUGUGGACUGUGACUUCCAGCUCUGCUGUUACAGGUGAUGCUCCAGAGACUUCUCAUCCCCAGACUUGUUGGGAUGCUAAUCUCACCAUUUUCUUCUUUUGAGUCAGGGUUUCUUUCCUUCAGUUGCCAAGACCAGUAUUGAACUCAUUCUGUAGCUCAAACAUAUCAUGAACUCUUUAUUCUCUGGCCCCAGUCUCCUAAGUACAUGGAAUUACAGGCCUGUGCCACCAGGCCUAAUAGUUAGCAUUUCAUGUACAUAAACUCGUGUACAGUGGUUUGUAUGUGUGCCUGUGGUGCUGAGAACCAAACCCAGGGCCAAGUACAUUGCAAAUGAGCACUCUAAGCUACACCUCAGCCCUGGAGUGGUUUUAAAUAUACUCAUUUUCUCUGUGAACUUUUUCUUAUUUUAGUGUUUUAGAAGAUUUAUUUUUAGAUAGGAAUGGUGGCACAUUCAUUUAAUCCUGACAAUGGGGAGGCAAAUGCAGGCAAGAUCUCUUGAGUUUGAGACAAGCCUGGUCUACAGAGUGCCAGGUCAGCCAGGACAACACAGAGAAACCCUGUCUUGAAAAAAAAGGAAAUAUUUAUUUUUAUUUUGUUUUAUGUGUAUCCGUAUUUAUUACAUGUAUGUCAGUGCACCACAUGUAUGCCUGAUCUUUACAGAGGCCAGAAAGGGGGACUGGGAUCCCUUGGAACUAAAGUUACAGAUGGUUGAUAGCUGCCACGUGGGUGCUGGAAACAAACCUGGGACCUCUGGAAGAGCAGCCAGUGACCCCAGCCAGCUCUCUGGCCUUUUUCUUUUCCUUUAAAAAUAAAUUUUAACUUAGUUACUCAAUAAGUCUACAUAUUUUUGGGAUACAGAAUAACAUACACACAUGCACACACACAUAUAUUAUGCAAUGAUCGUAUGGGGACAUUUAUCACCUCAGGUGCUUGCCAUUUUUCGGGUAAGCAAUAUUCAACACUGUCUCUACAUGUAUUCCUAGGCGUUGGUUCUGUUAUUCAGAAGACACAGUGGAAAGUUUCAAUACACAGUGUCAAACUUCAGGGGCAAUUUUUAAAGCUUUAUUCAUAAAACUAUAUCUUUACUUGGUUUUGGUGCUUUUUAGUGCAACUCAGAGGUCCACCUGCCUCUGCCUCCAAGGCACUGAGAUUAAAGGUGUAAGCCACUGCCGGGCAUUAGACUACAUCUAGACUAACAAUGCAGAUCUAACCGGGAGGGCUGUGACUUUUCAGUCAUCUAGAACAGAAUGAAAGAAAAGACAAGGAGGUGAGGGGCCAGAAGUUGAGACAGACAUCAUGGUUAGGGAGAGUAGAGGAGACCUUGGAUAAAGCCAUACCCGGAGAGAAAAGGCCACACCCAUGCUACAGAAGCCUGCAGACUGCAGAAGGCUGAGCAAGUACCCUGAUGUGGCCGGCUCUGUGUGGUCGCUGUGAGUGCAGCUCGGGUGUAGAACUUGACAGAGGACAUGGGGGAUGGGAGUGAGUACUCACUGUAGGCUGAGCUUUGACUUGAGGAUCAGGAAGAUUUGUCUCACCAACUCAAGCAGGCAUCUGACUUCAUGCAAACUACUUUGUUUUCAGUUGUAUUGUUAAUAAAUUACAGACCAUGAUUCUUAAAUUCGUCAGAUAACAUGUGAAGUUUAGGGUCUAUAGUUGCUACUUAAUAAACGGCGGCUCUCAAAAAAAAAUUUUAAAUCAACUACUUUAAAAGGAAAUUAAUGUUACAAUAAUGGGGAAAACAUCAGUUGCAUAGAAAGUAAUGGCAAAAAUUUGGAUGUAAUAAUAUAGUGGUAAAAUAAACAGGAACAGUUUUUUUUUUUUUUAAAGAUUUAUUAUUAAUUAUAUGGAAGUACACUGUAGCUAUUUUCAGACAUACCAGAAGAGGGCAUCAGAUCUCGUUACAUAUGGUUGUGAGCCACCAUGUAGUUGCUGGUAUUUGAACUCCGGACUUUCGGAAGAACACUCGGUGCUCUUACCCACUGAGCCAUCUCUCCAGCCUCCGAUUUUAAAGUUUUAAGAAGAAAUUAUGGG
rnacentral:lncRNA from 1 species